CUACACGGGUAUCUAAUCCUGUUUGCUCCCCACGCUUUCGCGCCUCAGCGUCAGUUAUAGGCCAAAGAGUCGCCUUCGCCACUGGUGUUCCUCCACAUCUCUACGCAUUUCACCGCUACACGUGGAAUUCCACUCUUCUCUCCUAUACUCAAGCCUCCCAGUUUCCAAUGGCCCUCCCCGGUUGAGCCGGGGGCUUUCACAUCAGACUUAAGAGGCCGCCUGCGCGCGCUUUACGCCCAAUAAUUCCGGACAACGCUUGCCACCUACGUAUUACCGCGGCUGCUGGCAC
rnacentral:rRNA from 1 species